rnacentral:tRNA from 1 species
GGGGUUGUGGCUCAGUGGUAGAGCACUUUCCUUGCAUGUGUGAAGCACUGUGUUCAAUUCUCAGCACCCCA